AACAGAGCUGGCUGGAAGAGGCAGAGGCAGCGGAAGUACAGGAAGAGUCUCAGAUCAACAGAGCUCCGGGAAAGCGCAUGCUCCGGCUGUGGAGCGACCUGCAGGCUGUGCAUAGGUUCCCGGCCUUGUUGGUGAUACUAUUGGGGAGACGUAUAAGAUGUGACCUUGUUGGAGAAAGUAACCGUGAGCUUUGAGAGUUUAAAGACUGGUGCCAUUUUGAGCUCCCCCAAUCUGCUUCCUGUUUAUAGUUCACAAUGUAAGCUCUCCGCUUCUGCUCUUAGUAUGUAGUUCCUGCUGCCUCUGCUCCACCAUCCUGGACUCCCCUCCAGAACCCUAAUCCCAAUAAACUCUUUUUUCUAC
rnacentral:lncRNA from 1 species